rnacentral:rRNA from 1 species
GCCUAACACAUGCAAGUCGAACGGAAAGGCCCUUCGGGGUGCUCGAGUGGCGAACGGGUGAGUAACACGUGGGUGAUCUGCCCUGCACUUUGGGAUAAGCCUGGGAAACUGGGUCUAAUACCGAAUACACCCUGCUGGUUGCAUGACCUGGUGGGGGAAAGCUUUUGCGGUGUGGGAUGGGCCCGCGGCCUAUCAGCUUGUUGGUGGGGUGAUGGCCUACCAAGGCGACGACGGGUAGCCGGCCUGAGAGGGUGACCGGCCACACUGGGACUGAGAUACGGCCCAGACUCCUACGGGAGGCAGCAGUGGGGAAUAUUGCACAAUGGGCGCAAGCCUGAUGCAGCGACGCCGCGUGGGGGAUGACGGCCUUCGGGUUGUAAACCUCUUUCAGUAGGGACGAAGCGCAAGUGACGGUACCUACAGAAGAAGGACCGGCCAACUACGUGCCAGCAGCCGCGGUAAU